UACGGGGGGGGCAAGCGUUGUUCGGAAUUACUGGGCGUAAAGGGCUCGUAGGCGGCCAACUAAGUCAGACGUGAAAUCCCCGGGCUCAACCCGGGAACUGCGUCCGAUACUGGCAGGCUUGAAUUCGGGAGAGGGAUGCGGAAUUCCAGGUGUAGCGGUGAAAUGCGUAGAUAUCUGGAGGAACACCGGUGGCGAAGGCGGCAUCCUGGACCGAGAUUGACGCUGAGGCGCGAAAGCCAGGGAGCAAACGGG
rnacentral:rRNA from 1 species